rnacentral:lncRNA from 1 species
CCUUGUUAAAUGCUGCUGCUGACCUCUGAUACUCUGGGUCCCACUGUCGUCCCUGAAACCAACAAACUCCUAUUUCAAAUCAAACCUUUCUAAGACCAUAACCUGCAUACAAAGGGGGAACAACCCUAGAAUUUUCAAGGAUGCUGGUACUCUUCUCCCUAAUUUACUCUUCUCCCUAAUUUAUUUCUUAGUGCCUCAAUAAAUGGAGCGUCUUCUGGAUAGGGCUGCCAGAUUGAGCCAAAAAGAAAAAAAAAAAAGAAGAAGCAAACUGAAACAAAAGAUUUCAAGUUAAAUUUGAACAUCAGCUUGAUGGAGGUACAUCUUACUGGGCCUCUCAGAAUCUGCUUCAUUAGAUGCGUGACAUAGCCUAUCUUGUAUUGGAGCUUCUUGCUAGGAAUAAUGGUGAUCUCCUUGCACACACUCUUGUUUGUGUGGAAGUCAUUGCUCAGGAAAUAGGUGAAGUGAGGAAUCCUUUUAUGCCCCACCUACUGUAAGGAU